ACAGCAAUGACGUCAUGUGCAAACAACCUAUAGCUUGGUUUUAUUUUGACUGAGUUGCUUUCUCUGGUAAUAUCUGGCAACACAUAGAAACGAAACUGUUCGGUUCACGUCUAAAUUAGUUUAAAAUCUAAACCUUACAUUUUUUUUUUGUCUAGUAUAUUUUUAAAUACACUUUUAAACAUAAACAUAGCAAAGAGUUAAGAAGUAUUGAUGACAAAGCUUCAUGUCCUUAUGAAUUUUCAUGAGCACAAGACUUGGACUUCCGAGAAAGUACAAUCCGCGUUUACAGUCCAUGCAAGUGAAAACUUGCUUAAAGGUCGUCUGAAGGUGCAUGCUGUAGAUGAGCUCAGCUGUAAUUGUGUUACAGUUUUCCUAGCCUAACUAUAUACCAGCGGUCUUUGCAAAAUUAUGGAUGUUCAAAAGUAUUUGGCACGCAUUGGCUGUUCGGGACCAUGUCUUCCGACAUUAGAGACAUUGCGAUACGUGCACCUGAAUCACGUAUUGACAGUUCCCUUUGAGAAUCUCACUAUUCAUAUCGGAGAGCGGGUCAAGCUUGAGUUGCCACUUUUGUAUGAAAAAAUCGUCGUCAGGCGCCGUGGAGGAUUCUGCUAUGAGAAUAAUGGGCUCUUCUCAUGGCUUCUAUCUCAGAUGGGCUUCGACGUGACUAUUCUCUCCGCACAGGUCAGGAAUCGGUUUACCCGUGCUUACGGACCUCCGUUCGACCACUUCAUUAUGAUGGUGAAGCUGGAUGGACACAGGUGGCUCUGUGAUGUGGGGUUCGGAUCCGGAUUCCAGCUCCCUCUCUCUCUUGAGACAGACAGUCCUCAAGUCCAGAGCCACGGAGCGUAUCGCCUCAGAACUCAGGGAAACUUCAUUUUCAUGGAAAUGAAAUCUGAGCCUGAAGUAUCAGGGACUGGAGAAGAAUGUUGGACGGAACUGUACAAAUUCACCCUGGAGGCACGUGAAAGAGACGAUUUCAGAGCCAUGUGUGAUUACCAUCAGAGUUCUGCUAGCUCGAUUUUCUUCUGCAAGUCUCUGUGUUCACUCUUACUGCCCACUGGAAGAAUCACAAUCAUGGGCCGCAGACUGAUUAUAACCUCUUUGUCCUCAGAUGGACAACAAGCUACUAAAACCACUACUGAUCUUUCAGAUGAAGAAAUCACAGAGAUCUUGAGAGAAAAGUUUGGAAUUGUUCUUCAUUCUCCACUCACCCCAAAAGAUGUUGAGAUUGUACCUCCACCAGUUACUUAUUAAGGGGUGGUGCUGCCUGUGGCAGUGCCUGGAGCCCUUGGUCUGAUGUCUGCCACUGUUUUUGCUGCAAGCCAGGCCAAAGAAAAUAACACCACCCUGAUGACAGAUGAGCUUUCACUCUAUGACACACCUGAGCCCCAGCUGAGGAACCAGGAGCCUGAGGUCGGUCGUGUUGAGCAGGGUGUAGCAUCUCUGAGGAAGACAGUGGAACCUUAUGUUUUAUGGUGUCAGG